GAAACUCUUCAUUAUUUUCUGUCCCCUCCUGUCUUAGGCUGACUGGUUGCUGGGAUGUUACCUGCUUCUAGCAAUCCAAGCUGCAGAACUUCUCAUUCAUCCCCAAGGCCUCCAGGCAGUAUCCAAUGGGGAAACAGCUCUAAAAGGAACCACACCAACCUUAUCCAGCCCCUUCAUUCUGUAGCUACCUCUGGAAAGGAUAGAAAACUGUUCAGGACAUCAUCAUACAGGCUCCUCAUCUACAAAGUUCCAGCAGCAGUGACGCCUACAUGGAAGACUUGGAACUGCAAACAGAGGCUGAGGUCACCUCAGUGACAUCUCCUGACGCUGUCCAACCAGAAGUUCGAUUUUUGUUCUGGGAUGGGGGUGGGGGGUGUGAAAAAGGAAACCAACUGUACUAAAGGACUAAAAUAAUUAGUCUAUAC